UCCACGCCCUAAACGAUGAACACUAGUCGUCGGGAUGCUAGUCAUCUCGGUGAUGCACUUAACAGAUUAAGUGUUCCGCCUGGGGAGUACGGUCGCAAGAUUAAAACUCAAAGGAAUAGACGGGGGGGACAAAGAGGAAGCAAUACCGCGAGGUGGAGCAAAUCUUUAAACCCUCUCUCAGUUCGGAUUGGAGUCUGCAACUCGACUCCAUGAAGCUGGAAUCGCUAGUAAUC
rnacentral:rRNA from 1 species